AGAAUUUGAUCUUGGUUCAGGAUGAACGCUAGCUACAGGCUUAACACAUGCAAGUCGAGGGGCAGCAUUGGAGUAGCAAUACUCAGAUGGCGACCGGCGCACGGGUGAGUAACACGUAUCCAACCUGCCGCUUACUCGGGGAUAGCCUUUCGAAAGAAAGAUUAAUACCCGAUGGUAUAAAGAGUUCGCAUGUUCUCUUUAUUAAAGAAUUUCGGUAAGCGAUGGGGAUGCGUUCCAUUAGAUAGUUGGCGGGGUAACGGCCCACCAAGUCUACGAUGGAUAGGGGUUCUGAGAGGAAGGUCCCCCACAUUGGAACUGAGACACGGUCCAAACUCCUACGGGAGGCAGCAGUGAGGAAUAUUGGUCAAUGGACGAGAGUCUGAACCAGCCAAAAGUAGCGUGAAGGAUGACUGCCCUAUGGGUUGUAAACUUCUUUUAUAAGGGAAUAAAGUGAGGGACGUGUCCCUUUUUGUAUGUACCUUAUGAAUAAGGAUCGGCUAACUCCGUGCCAGCCGCCGC
rnacentral:rRNA from 1 species